rnacentral:rRNA from 1 species
GGGGGGGGCAAGCGUUGUUCGGAAUUACUGGGCGUAAAGGGCUCGUAGGUGHGCCAACUAAGUCAGACGUGAAAUCCCUCGGCUUAACCUGGGAACUGCGUCUGAUACUGGAUGGCUUGAGAUUGGGAGAGGGAUGCGGAAUUCCAGGUGUAGCGGUGAAAUGCGUAGAUAUCUGGAGGAACACCGGUGGCGAAGGCGGCAUCCUGGACCAACACUGACACUGAGGAGCGAAAGCCAGGGGAGCAAACGGGAUUAGAUACCCCGGUAGUCCUGGCCCUAAACGAUGAAUGCUUGGUGUGACGGGUAUCGAUCCCUGUCGUGCCGAAGCUAACGCAUUAAGCAUUCCGCCUGGGGAGUACGGUCGCAAGGCUG